rnacentral:rRNA from 1 species
GACGAACGCUGGCGGCGUGCUUAACACAUGCAAGUCGAGCGGUAAGGCCCUUUCGGGGGGUACACGAGCGGCGAACGGGUGAGUAACACGUGGGUGACCUGCCCUCAGCUCUGGGAUAAGCCUGGGAAACCGGGUCUAAUACUGGAUAUGACUCCAUGACGCAUGUUGUGGGGUGGAAAGCCUUGUGCGGCUGAGGAUGGGCCCGCGGCCUAUCAGCUUGUUGGUGGGGUGAUGGCCUACCAAGGCGACGACGGGUAGCCGGCCUGAGAGGGCGACCGGCCACACUGGGACUGAGACACGGCCCAGACUCCUACGGGAGGCAGCAGUGGGGAAUCUUGCGCAA